ensembl:lncRNA
UGGGAAGUAUUAUUUGAAUUUAUUUAUUCCUUUUUUAAAAAAAAAUAUUUCUUUUUGUCAAAAUUCAAAGCCAAGCAGAUGUAGCCGGUGUGAAACAUCAGAUGACUUCUGUAGGAGCUUAUGGCUGGAAACAGCCCCGUAUUGUUUGUGCGUCUACUGCCUAUAUGUACGUGGGAAAGAGCAUUUUUCUUUUAUUAUUCCAUUUUCUCCCAAGAGAUUUGGCAGCCAGAGUCUCGCGUUCUGUCUUUCACUGUACGGCUGCAGCAACCAGAGAAGGAACCUGCAAGUUCAAAAAUUCAUUAUGAUGAAAAGCAGCAGGGUGGGUGUGUAGGUGGAAGUGCGAAAUGUCUGCAUCUCAAAGAGGGAAUCUCAUGGAUUCUCACAUACCUCCAGCAGCAGAUCCGCAUCCAGCAGCAAUGUAAAGCUGUGCACCGUCUGCCAGGAUGAGGAAAAGAAACUCCAAACACGUGUAUAUACAUGCAUGAUAUGGUAGAUUUUAAAGAGUCUGAAAACAAAGGAAAAUGGUGAGAAUCACCUCUAUUUACUAUUAGCAUUCCUCAAACAAUCCCUCAGAUGUAUUGCUGAGCCUCUCAUAAUAAGCCUCUCGUGUUUCUGUCCAGGCUGCAUGUGUGUGUGUGUGUGUUUGUGUGUGUAGGUGAAUACAAUCUUUAGAAUAUAUACUACACUGUGUUCCAUGUUCCCAGACGUCUCUAUGCUCCAGAUCAAUGGUGCAGAUUUGAUCCAGCCUUUUGGACUGCCCGGGGUUUGCCAACAUAUCAUUGGGCACAGUGGGAACUGAAUAUUUCAGAUAGACAGAUUGAUCUGCUGGACUUGCUGGCCACACGUGUCCAAUCCUGCAAUCAGAGGCAGCUCUGAUCGAACACAAUGAUUCUUAGACGCAGCCCCCCCACUGGGAGGCAAAGGUGUGGUGAGAAACAGAUUGAGGAGGGAGGAAAGAUGAGCAAAUUAUCCACACAAGAGGCACUUUGUGCAGCCUGUGAUGCAGCUUCGGUCCUGAUGAAGAUGUCUGUCUACUAAUCGCAGACUUUUAACGUAAUUAAAUCAAUUUAGUUGUUCAUUUGCGUAGUCAGACCCCGCCCCUGGGUCCUCUUUCGCCCCGCGCACCUGUGGCCAAUCAGCGCUAUCAUGAGGCCCUUUUAGGUCCCUGCUCUACGCUGCCUCCCUGCCAGAUUGUCCUCUGUAGUCCACAUGACUCUCCAACGUUUUCCUGCCUGCCUGUCUGCCUGGUCUUGACCCUGCCUGUCCCGACGAUCCUAUCCUGCCUGCUCCCCGGUAAACCCGACUGCCUUCUGUUCCUGACAUCGCACGUGGACGGACUCGCCCAGUCCCCGCUUCCCCGCGGGUCCAGCUCUGCCUGCCUGUACAACCCUGACAAUAAAGCGGAGUUUAACCGAACUCUGGUGUUGCUCUUAGGUUCUCGUUGAUCCCAAACAACCUAUAAUAUAAUAUAAAAAUAAGUAAUACUUACUUAUUACCAUCUGUUUACUAACUCCAAUCCAGUUGUGGAAGCUAACCUGCUGAAACGACAUGUCACCACCUAGUGUUGGGGAGGACAGGUCGGUUGAUCUUCACCAUUGCAUGUAAACUGGGACAAGGAUCAAAUUCCAAUUAGAUGCACAAAGUGUUGCUUUGCGGAAGCGCACUGAGUAUUGGGGGACGGAAAAGGUGUUUAUUGAAUAAAACAUAUUUUUACCAUGUGUGUCACAACAAGAGUGUGCUACCUGUUCUGAUAUUUAUGUUGAUCAUUUAUGCCAGAGUCAUCGGUUCCUGUCUGUAAUUAUCAGAAUUUUACCAUCUCUAUUAAUCUACCUUUCACUACUAAGAACUCGUUAAGAUAUCGGCUACCUUUGUCAGGAAACUGAGCUUUAGCAAUUAGCCAGCGUUUGGCUUUGACACUACUUUACACCAUUGCGAAUUCUGUCGACUAAUUACAGGAUAACGCUAGCAUGUAUCUUAACAAGCCAUAAAUGCUGAAAGUGUUGCUACAGACAGACCGGGUUAUUAAGGACAGACCAUAAUAGCAUGCGAUGAUUCCUUCAAUGUGAUUUGUCCUCUCUGUACUUGUAUUUUAUUAUUAAUUCUUUCUGCUACUAUUACAUGUGUAUUAUGUGUAGUGUAAAAACUAGCUUCUCUUAAGUAUGAUCCCACCCACUCGUGUC